rnacentral:rRNA from 1 species
AUUGAACGCUGGCGGAAUGCCUUACACAUGCAAGUCGAACGGUAGAGGGGGCAACCCCUCGAGAGUGGCGAACGGGUGAGUAAUAUAUCGGAACGUGCCCAGUCGUGGGGGAUAACGUAGCGAAAGUUACGCUAAUACCGCAUACGAUCUAAGGAUGAAAGCGGGGGAUCGCAAGACCUCGCGCGAUUGGAGCGGCCGAUAUCAGAUUAGGUAGUUGGUGGGGUAAAGGCUCACCCAGCCAACGAUCUGUAGCUGGUCUGAGAGGACGACCAUCAACACGGGAACUGUGACACGGUCCAGACUCCUACGGGAGGCAGCAGUGGGGAAUUUUGGACAAUGGACGCAAGUCUGAUCCAGCCAUUCCGCGUGCAGGAUGAAGGCCCUCGGGUUGUAAACUGCUUUUGUACGGAACGAAAAGGUCUCUCUUAAUACGGGGGACUCAUGACGGUACCGUAAGAAUAAGCACCGGCUAACUACGUGCCAGCCGCCGCAGUAAAAC